rnacentral:rRNA from 1 species
AGAGUUUGAUCAUGGCUCAGGAUGAACGCUAGCUACAGGCUUAACACAUGCAAGUCGAGGGGCAGCAUAAUCGAAGCUUGCUUUGAUUGAUGGCGACCGGCGCACGGGUGAGUAACGCGUAUCCAACCUUCCCCUUAGUAGGGCAUAGCCCGGCGAAAGUCGGAUUAAUACCCUAUGUUAUCCGUCGAGGGCAUCUGAAAUGGAUUAAAGAUUUAUCGCUAAGGGAUGGGGAUGCGUCUGAUUAGGUUGUUGGCGGGUAACGGCCCACCAAGCCUACGAUCAGUAGGGGUUCUGAGAGGAAGGUCCCCCACAUUGGUACUGAGACACGGACCAAACUCCUACGGGAGGCAGCAGUGAGGAAUAUUGGUCAAUGGGCGAGAGCCUGAACCAGCCGAGUAGCGUGCCAGGAUGACGGCCCUAUGGGUUGUAAACUGCUUUUGCAUGGGAAUAAAGUCGGGGACGUGUCCCCGUUUGUAUGUACCAUGAGAAUAAGGACCGGCUAAUUCCGUGCCAGCAGCUGC